rnacentral:rRNA from 1 species
CAAUAGCGUAUAUUAAAGUUGUUGCAGUUAAAAAGCUCGUAGUUGGAUUUCUGGUGGGAGCGAUCGGUCUGGCGCUUAGCGCGAGUACUUGCAUCGUCUCCGGCCAUCCUUGGGGAGAGUCUGUCUGGCAUUAAGUUGUCGGGCAGAGGAUCCUCAUCGUUUACUGUGAAAAAAUUAGAGUGUUCAAAGCAGGCUUAUGCCGUUGAAUAUAUUAGCAUGGAAUAAUAAGAUAGGACUUUGGUACUAUUUUGUUGGUUUGCGCACCAAAGUAAUGAUUAAUAGGGACAGUUGGGGGUAUUCGUAUUCCGUUGUCAGAGGUGAAAUUCUUGGAUUUACGGAAGACGAACUACUGCGAAAGCAUCUGCCAUGGAUGUUUUCAUUGA